ACCAGCUGAUGAGUCCCGAAUAGGACGAAACGCGCGUCUGGAU
rnacentral:hammerhead_ribozyme from 1 species